AUUGAACGCUGGCGGCAGGCCUAACACAUGCAAGUCGAACGAGUGGCGGACGGGUGAGUAAUGUCUGGGAAACUGCCUGAUGGAGGGGGAUAACUACUGGAAACGGUAGCUAAUACCGCAUACCAUCGGAUGUGCACAGAUGGGAUUAGCUAGUAGGUGGGGUAACGGCUCACCUAGGAGACGAUCCCUAGCUGGUCUGAGAGGAUGACCAGCAAAACUGGAACGUAGAAACGGUCCAGACUCCUACGGGAGGCAGCAGUGGGGAAUAUUGCACAAUGGGCGCAAGCCUGAUGCAGCCAUGCCGAGUGUAUGAAGAAGGCCUUCGGGUUGUAAAGUACGUUCAGCGGGGAGGCGUUACCCGCAGAAGAAGCACCGGCUAACUCCGUGCCAGCCGCCGCGGUAAUAC
rnacentral:rRNA from 1 species